rnacentral:rRNA from 1 species
GACGAACGCUGGCGGCGUGCUUUAGGCAUGCAAGUCGAACGCGAAAGCCCCUUCGGGGGUGAGUAGAGUGGCGAACGGGUGAGUAACACGUGGGUAACCUGCCCCUCGCAGGGGGAUAACCGGGGGAAACCCCGGCUAAUACCCCGUACGCUUGCUGGGGCGCAUGCUCCGGCAAGGAAAGGUAGCUUCGGCCAUCCGGCGAGGGAGGGGCCCGCGGCCCAUUAGCUGGUUGGGGGGGUAACGGCCCACCAAGGCGACGAUGGGUAGCUGGCUUAAGAGGGGGGUCGGCCACACUGGGACUGAAACGCGGCCCAGACUCCUACGGGAGGCAGCAGCCAGGAAUCUUGCGCAAUGGGCGAAAGCCUGACGCAGCAACGCCGCGUGGGCGAUGAAGGCCUUCGGGUCGUAAAGCCCUGUUGUCGGGGACGAAGGGCGAAGGGUUAAUAGCCCCUAGCCUGACGGUACCCGACGAGGAAGCCCCGGCUAACUACGUG